CAACUAGUGCCACAGUGGUUGUUUGGUAAUUGUUGAUUGAUUGCUUUUUCAAAUUACAUUGUUAUUUCAUCUCCUUAAUCCGUGUGUAUAACUGCGAUGGUGCGAGUUCUCAUUUUAUUGGACUAUUUAAAUGGAAAAGAGAGUGUUACAUGGAGGAACGCUACCAUUCUUCGGUGGAGAAUCCGAAAUAAUGCCAUCGGCAGGGCCUUUGAGAUUUCGGACUUCCAAGUUCAGGUCUCAUAGGUUAUCCAAGGCAUUGUUCAAAAGGCCAUGAAUUGACUCCUCUCUUGUCUCGUCGACAAAGGACAAAUAAAAUUUCCGUGGAAAGUAAGGGGACUCGCAAUAUCCAUUAUGUUUGUGGCUAUUAACACCAGUCUCAAACGCUGUUCCUGACAGUGCAGAAGAAUAUUAUAUUGAUUUUCACUGUAGAGCCAGAAACACCAUUGAACGGGGCAUUGGGGAAUUGAAAGCGAUGUGAAGAUUUUUGCUUUCACAGAGUUUCGCAUUAUCAUGAUAGCACUGUUACAAAAAUUAUGAAAGCCUGCUCGGUAUCACAUAACAUUGUCAAUGGAGCUACACUUACACCAAGAAGAGUCUACCAAAGAUUCUACGAGGCAAAUUCCUGCAAUAACAGCUCUGAAUCAUCCCAGUUCGAGUUAGAAAGAGGCCACAGUCAAAAGGCAAUAAUAAUACUGAGGUUAUGGAGAAGUAGAUAAGAAUGUUAAGCCAUUGGUCCUCAGAAAAAUUAUGUAUGUAUAUGUACACAGCACUAUGCACACAAUUUUAUAUUGUAUUACUAGAUAGUUAGACAGUGUUCUUCUUGUUCCAUAUAAUAUCAAAAUUUGACUUGUUCGUUAAAAGCACUAGACAGUAAGUAGUUAGUAAAGUAUUUUCUUGUAUUAUUAAGAGCUAAAGAUUCAUGCGGCCUAUGGGUCAACUAA